AAAGAUGGCUUUGGCUAUCACUCUGGGAUGGGCCUGCGGUGCAUUAGCUAGUUGGUAAGGUAACGGCUUACCAAGGCGAUGAUGCAUAGCCGAGUUGAGAGACUGAUCGGCCACAAUGGAACUGAGACACGGUCCAUACUCCUACGGGAGGCAGCAGUAGGGAAUCUUCCACAAUGGGCGCAAGCCUGAUGGAGCAACACCGCGUGAGUGAAGAAGGGUUUCGGCUCGUAAAGCUCUGUUGUUGGAGAAGAACGUGCGUGAGAGUAACUGUUCACGCAGUGACGGUAUCCAACCAGAAAGUCACGGCUAACUACGUGCCAGCAGCCGCGGUAAUACGUAGGUGGCAAGCGUUAUCCGGAUUUAUUGGGCGUAAAGCGAGCGCAGGCGGUUGCUUAGGUCUGAUGUGAAAGCCUUCGGCUUAACCGAAGAAGUGCAUCGGAAACCGGGCGACUUGAGUGCAGAAGAGGACAGUGGAACUCCAUGUGUAGCGGUGGAAUGCGUAGAUAUAUGGAAGAACACCAGUGGCGAAGGCGGCUGUCUGGUCUGCAACUGACGCUGAGGCUCGAAAGCAUGGGUAGCGAACAGGAUUAGAUACCCUGGUAGUCCAUGCCGUAAACGAUGAGUGCUAGGUGUUGGAGGGUUUCCGCCCUUCA
rnacentral:rRNA from 1 species